rnacentral:lncRNA from 1 species
AGAAUCGCCCGAACCCAGGAGGUGGAGGUUGCAGUGAGCCAAGAUCGUGCCACUGCACUCCAGCCUGGGCGACAGAGUGAGACUCUGUCUCCAAAUUAAUUAAUUAAUAAAGUUAUAAUUGAAAUUAACACUCUGAUCCCCGAAUGCUUGGGGAGACUGAUUUGAGUAAUAAUAAAACUCCAGCCUCCCUCACAGCCAGCUCUGCAUAAAUUACCUUCUCCAUUGCAGUUCCCCUGUCUUGAUAAAUCGGCUCUGUCCAGGCAGUGGGCAAGGUGAACCCACUGGGUGGUUACACUUUCAGCACUGUGUCUACAGUCUGGCCAGCCUUUAGGAUGGGAGGGCAGGUGAAAGACAGGCUUCUCCCCUCUUACAGUAGUGCCUGGAGCAGAUCACUUCCAUUGUCCUCGCUGUUGGCCCCACCUGGCUCUGGGGGACAAUCCUGUGUCCAGAUAACAACUCCAAUGCGACGUACGAAGGGAAGGUCAGAUGUCAGGGACAACCAGGAGUCCCUGCCUCAUGUGUUUCCUUCUUUCCUGGUUUCGUGUUAGUGGCGCACACCCUCCAGCAACUUCCUGAGAAAUUGCCUUUAUGUGAACGGGAGCCAGUCUGAAAACUUCCCAACAUAGGUCCAUACCUUUGGGUCAUCUCCCCUCACGGUGACCUGGGCUUGCUCCUGUGACUUGUUUUGGCCCAUGAGACGACAGGAAAUAUGACACAAGCAGAGACUUGAGAGGCAGGUGUGCCUUGGGGCUUAUCUUACUGACACUGGGGGCUCCAGUGUCAGAGACAUUGGAACCAGAGUGACUCCAUCUUGAAUAGGGGCUGGGUAAAAUGAGGCUGAGACCUGCUGGGCUAUAUUCCCAGGAGGUUAGGCAUUCUUAGUCAACAGGAGAUUCACAGAUGGGGAACAAGUGAACGAUGUUUACCAAACAGACCCCGGACUUAACAGAUCCAGGAGAUGUCCUGAUGUCCCGACACCUUAAGAACAAAAGCAUUCUUAGUUCAAAAAUAAGUUUGGUGGCUGGGCGUGGUUAUCUCUUUUUCUCACCUAUUUUCUUUGGGAUUCUCUUUGAUAUUUUUUGUUCUACUUCCUGAGAAAUUUCCUCAACCGUAUCUUCCAAUCUUUGCAGAGAUCUUUAUUUUUGCAAUCAUGCUUCUAAUUUCCAUGGUUUCCUUAGAGUCUCCACGUGUUUCCUUGGCUAUGUUUUCCAUAUUCUCUUAUCUCUAUGCAGAUAUCCAUUAUCCGAGUUUUGAAAACGGUAUUCCACCUGGCACUGUAGCUAAAGGUUGCAGCUUCUUUUCCUUCCUCUUUGCUUGUUUGCUUGUUUUUGUCUUGGUCUUUUCCACAGCAGGGCUGUCCUUGAGUGUCUGGCAUUCUGGGCUGUCUGCUUCUAUCUCAGCAGCUGCCUGGAAUCUCUGUGUGCCUGUGGCAGAGUGGGGAUGCGUGUCAAACUGCCAGCUUCCCAGUUGGAUGCUUUGGUGGAGCAGUACCUUUUUUUUUUUUUUUUUUUUGAGAUGGAGUCUCACUGUCGCCCAGGCUGGAGUGCAGUGGUGUAAUCUUGGCUCACUGCAACUUCCACCUCCCAUGUUCAAGCCAUUCUCCUCCCUCUCAGCCUCCCGAGUAGCUAUGAUUCUAGGUGCAUGCCACCAUGCCUGGAUAAUUUUUGUGUUUUUAGCAACGACAGGGUUUCGCCGUGUUGGCCAGGCUGGUCUCAAACUCCUGACCACUGGUAAUCCGCCCGCCUUGGUCUCCCAAAGUGCUGGGAUUACAGGGGUAAGCCACCGUGUCUGGCCGAUGGAGCAGUAUCUCGAGGGACCUCCAAGUGUCCAAACCUAGGUCUUUUCUCUCCAGCUGGCCAGUUUCCCAGUGAGGGGGCCUUUAACCUUCCCCGGGGUGUGGGUGGGUUGGGUGUGACCUGUUCUCAGUUGGCUGCCUGCCGCCAGGUCUUCCUGGGGUCCCGGUCCCCGCAGCCUCUCGCACAAUCCCUGGGGAAUGAACCUCCCGCCUUCUGCAGGGCUGGGAGAGGGAUGCUUGCUGAGGAAGACAUUCAGAAAACCUCAAUUUUCUCCCCACCCUCAGAGGUCCCUGGUGCCUCCAGGCCCAGAGCCUUUCUGGGGUUCUAUGAUGCAAACCAGUUGCCUUGUGGUUGCCCCCACCGCGGGCUUGGGCUCUGCUCUCUCAGUCUCUAAGCUGUUUCCACUCCCCCAUGUGCCUUCUUGCUUCCCAUCUUCAAGGCCACGGUCCAGCUCCCGUUCUCUUUGUUUUGAUCCCUUCUUUGACUCUCGAGCCUGUGGGAGCGAGGGUGUUUGAUCUGCAGUGUUGAGCAGGGUUCUCUGGGCUCCUGCAGGGGACCCAGUGUUGAGCCCACAUACACCUCGCUCAGUAAGUAGUCCCUAAGGACUGUGCAGGGCACCAGGGACACGGUGGUGAGUGAAUGAUGGUCCCUGGUCUCACAUCUGUGUCCGUGCCAGUGCCAGGGGGCCUGGGCUGUGGGGAAAGGAGGAAUCGAGGCGCUCAGCUCAGGAGGCUUUUCAGGAGCAAAGGGUGCACAGUUGGUUUCAGGCAGGGAAAGGUGUGAGCAGCGGCUGGGAAAAC